CUUGCUCCUUGGGUGACGAGUGGCGGACGGGUGAGUAAUGUCUGGGAAACUGCCCGAUGGAGGGGGAUAACUACUGGAAACGGUAGCUAAUACCGCAUAACGUCGCAAGACCAAAGAGGGGGACCUUCGGGCCUCUUGCCAUCGGAUGUGCCCAGAUGGGAUUAGCUAGUAGGUGGGGUAACGGCUCACCUAGGCGACGAUCCCUAGCUGGUCUGAGAGGAUGACCAGCCACACUGGAACUGAGACACGGUCCAGACUCCUACGGGAGGCAGCAGUGGGGAAUAUUGCACAAUGGGCGCAAGCCUGAUGCAGCCAUGCCGCGUGUAUGAAGAAGGCCUUCGGGUUGUAAAGUACUUUCAGCGAGGAGGAAGGUGUUGUGGUUAAUAACCGCAGCAAUUGACGUUACUCGCAGAAGAAGCACCGGCUAACUCCGUGCCAGCAGCCGCGGUAAUACGGAGGGUGCAAGCGUUAAUCGGAAUUACUGGGCGUAAAGCGCACGCAGGCGGUCUGUCAAGUCGGAUGUGAAAUCCCCGGGCUCAACCUGGGAACUGCAUCCGAAACUGGCAGGCUAGAGUCUUGUAGAGGGGGGUAGAAUUCCAGGUGUAGCGGUGAAAUGCGUAGAGAUCUGGAGGAAUACCGGUGGCGAAGGCGGCCCCCUGGACAAAGACUGACGCUCAGGUGCGAAAGCGUGGGGGAGCAAACAG
rnacentral:rRNA from 1 species